AUUUCUAAGGUUACUAGCUUACCAUGGAUGGCUGUAGUGAAGGUAUAGCCACAAGACUGAGGAAUCAAUACAGCAUACAUCUGUUAGCAACACAGGAGGCCAACUUGAAGUUAGGUCAGAAAGGAUAUAUUCAAAAAGUUCCCAAAGUUCUGAUUCCUACGUGUUUCUGAAAUGUGCCCCUUCUUGUAUCAGUUGGGGUCCAUCUGAUAAAGAACACCUUUGAAAUCUAUCUUGGGUGAGAGAAAGAUUGGUCCUCAGAGCAUUGCUGGUUUGGAUGAUGGAAAAGGUGAGAUGCCAAACAGAAGACAAGGCCACUCACGUUAGCUGUAGCAGGAAGCUAUAAUCAGCGCUGGGCUGUGUGGACAAAGAGAGGAAGUAGUGUUUCCACAGCCAAGGGUGGGAUCCCUGGACUGCAGCCAGGACUGGAGCAUGCGUGCACAGAGGCAGCUGAAGCCAAAGAGGAAAUACAACUGCUGCUGAUUAUUGCAUGCACAUCUUGAAUCUGGGCUUACCCAGUGGAGAAUUCAAGUUGACAAUAGCAACGGAAGCUGACAUGUCUUGUUGGAGCAGAGUGUCCUGCUCUCCCGUGCUCUCCCAAGGGAAUGAAAUACCAAACCUUGUCCAAAAUGUCAACGAUGAUGCACCUCUCCUCCUGGAGCAGAGCUUCUGGAGUCCAGGCAGCUACUUUCCCAGCUGAAAAAUGCCGGUGAACCAGCACGACAAGGCUGUCAUGAGUA
rnacentral:lncRNA from 1 species